UACGAAGGGGGCUAGCGUUGUUCGGAAUCACUGGGCUUAAAGCGUGUGUAGGCGGAUUCCUAAGUACCUUGUGAAAUCCCAUGGCUCAACCAUGGAACUGCUUGGUAUACUGGGUGUCUUGAGCCAGCUAGGGGCUACCGGAACAAAUGGUGGAGCGGUGAAAUGCGUAGAUAUCAUUUGGAACGCCAAUGGUGAAAACAGGUAGCUGGGGCUGUGCUGACGCUGAGACACGAAAGCCAGGGGAGCGAACGGG
rnacentral:rRNA from 1 species